rnacentral:rRNA from 1 species
GACGAACGCUGGCGGCGUGCUUAACACAUGCAAGUCGAGCGGUAAGGCCCUUUCGGGGGUACACGAGCGGCGAACGGGUGAGUAACACGUGGGUGACCUGCCCUUAGCUCUGGGAUAAGCCUGGGAAACUGGGUCUAAUACCGGAUAUGACUCCAUGACGCAUGUUGUGGGGUGGGAAAGCCUUGUGCGGCUAGGGAUGGGCCCGCGGCCUAUCAGCUUGUUGGUGGGGUGAUGGCCUACCAAGGCGACGACGGGUAGCCGGCCUGAGAGGGCGACCGGCCACACUGGGACUGAGACACGGCCCAGACUCCUACGGGA